rnacentral:lncRNA from 1 species
AUUGUUUUCGCAUAGUUGACCUCUUAUGUUUGUUUUAUCUCUAUCUGGUUUCUUUUUUAGGUAUUUGCUAUUUAAAAAUUCAAAAACUCUUUAUCAUAAAUCAUAUUAUCUAUUCUUUGAGUAAUUUUCCCUAGAAUAUUCCUUUUUACAUUCUAACCAUUAUCCAUGUUUGUUCAAAGUUUAUAGGUAUCAUGUUAGGUUCUUCUUCCAUAUCUAACCAAAAAACCUUUCGAUCCACCUUAAUGAGCACAUUUUUUAGGCUUUCAUU